UACAGAGGUCUCAAGCGUUGUUCGGAUUCAUUGGGCGUAAAGGGUGCGUAGGCGGCGCGGUAAGUCGGGUGUGAAAGUCUCCGGGGCUUAACUCCGAAACUGCAUUCGAUACUGGCGUGCUUGAGGACUGGAGAGGAGACUGGAAUUCAUGGUGUAGCAGUGAAAUGCGUAGAGAUCAUGAGGAAGACCAGUGGCGAAGGCGGGUCUCUGGACAGUUCCUGACACUGAGACACGAAGGCCAGGGGAGCAAACGGG
rnacentral:rRNA from 1 species